rnacentral:lncRNA from 1 species
AAAUAUUAGUUCAUGUUACUGGUAAAACUGACCUGACAUUCCUACGUCAUCAUGAAUUCAUGAUAACUUUCAACGUGCAGAAUACUUGAUGCACACUUUUGAAGGCCCUGUAUAUGCAGCCAGACAGUUAUAUUUGUGGGGAGGCAUCUAUAGGUAAGCGCACUUACGGCUCAGAACUGUAUGACAAGCUUCAUCUCCAUGCAAGCUAGAAGUCCCUUGCUAUUUCACGUGAGGUUGACUCCAUGUACAUAUUACGUACCACAUGAGGAGGUGCUUUUCCCAGUAUUACUGCAAGAUUACAGGCUUUUGUGCUUUAGAUUGGUUUAGUUUGCUUCCAACUGCUCAUGCUUCUCCAAUUUUUUUUUUCUUGUUUUAUUCUCACAGUUGCCUGUAGUACACUACCUUGAGCCUUGCAACACAAAAUUCUUAUGUUACAGGUAGGUUCAUCAGAAUGUAUCUCCUUCCUAUAACAUGGAAAAAUUAUUUGAUCCUCAGUUACAAGGCAUAUAUCAUAUGAUUCUCAUAGUUUAUUUUCUUCUCUUAUGGAUGUGUGCAUGGGGAUCACAUGCAUGUGGGUACAUGUGCAUGUGUAUGUGAACAUAUUUCUUUGUGUUUGUGUAUUCUAUUAUCAACCAGAUGAGCUAUGUGCUGAAUCUUAUGCUGCUUGUUUGCAUAUCUAUCAAUACCAUUCCUUUUUAAAUUCUUCUUGUGACUCAUGAAAUUAUACUCAAACAAAA